rnacentral:tRNA from 1 species
UCUCUGGUGGUCCAAUGGCUAAGACUCUGUGCUCACAACGCAGGGAGCCUGGGAUCAAUCCCCGGACAGGGAA